GGCCCAUCUAAUUUUUGACCUCUACUCCAAAGCUUAUAAUAGUUUAUGGAGUACACUUUCCAUUUACCUCUCUGCCUUUCCAUUGUCUUCACUAAUCCCAAGAUAUUUUUCGUUUACUUCCACCUGAAUCGCCACUUUCGUUUGCUCCUUCUUUGGGUCAUCAACAAACCCCUAUGUUCAUCAUUCUCACACAAGGAUCUUCACUGUGCCAAGGUAAUCGUUGUGUUCUCCUUUUUCUAUUCCUUUUUUUCCUUACUUGGCUAAUAGUUUCCUCUUGAUAAGGUGUUUGGAGUUUGUCCACCUCAGAUUGGAUUUGAAGGAGGUAGUCGUCCGGAGUCCACAACUCUCCCAUCUAUAAGUACCGCAUGACUCCUUUCUUCAUCCCUCAUUUUCGUAGCCUUAUAACCCUAACAACCUUUUCGUGUACCUUUGCUAGCCGUAUCAUGGAAUGGACUACCCUUCGCCUGUACAAGAUAGGAAAUGUAGCUAACCUUCAAUGAAAUAAGUCAGAUUUGACACCCACCCCAUUUGUUUUGGUAAAAAAUUUUGUGUGCUAACAUAGUUUAGCAAAACUUGUAUAGCUGCCUUUAUGUCCCUGUGAAUCGGGCAUACUCUUAUGUUAAUAUUUGUGUUGCUUUCCUUAUGCAUGUUCCUCGUAGCUCUUUCAAUUAUGUGACUCUGCUUCCACUAUAAUCUCAUGCUGGUGCCUUUAUUUUCCUUUUGCUUAUUUUAAUUAUCGAUAUUUGAAAUUUAUUUGUGUUUAACACAG
rnacentral:lncRNA from 1 species